UCCGCAACCCGACCUGAGUGGAAAUCCUUUUUUUGCUUCUACAAACGUUAUUUUGAUAGACAAACAUCUGCAAAAAAAGAUUGGGAACGGAGGGCGGAUAAGUUG
rnacentral:sRNA from 1 species